CUAAGCCAUGCGAGUCAAAUGUUCUUCGUGAACAUGGCGUACUGCUCAGUAACACGUGGAUAACCUGCCUUAGGACUGGCAUAACCCCGGGAAACUGGGGAUAAUUCCGGAUAGUUCAUGGUAGUUGGAAUGCUCCAUGAUCGAAAGCUAUUGCGCCUAAGGAUGGGUCUGCGGUCUAUCAGGUAGUAGUGGGUGUAAUGUACCUACUAGCCGACGACGGAUACGGGUUGUGGGAGCAAGAGCCCGGAGAUGGAUUCUGAGACAUGAAUCCAGGCCCUACGGGGCGCAGCAGGCGCGAAAACUUUACAAUGCGGGAAACCGCGAUAAGGGGACACCGAGUGCCAGCAUCUUAUGUUGGCUGUCCGCAUGUAUAAAUCACAUGUGUUAGCAAGGGCCGGGCAAGACCGGUGCCAGCCGCCGCGGUAACACCGGCGGCCCGAGUGGUGGCCACUAUUAUUGGGUCUAAAGGGUCCGUAGCCGGUUUGGUCAGUCUUCCGGGAAAUCUGACGGCUUAACCGUUAGGCUUUCGGGGGAUACUACCAGGCUUGGGACCGGGAGAGGUAAGAGGUACUACGGGGGUAGGAGUGAAAUCUUGUAAUCCUCGUGGGACCACCAGUGGCGAAGGCGUCUUACCAGAACGGGUCCGACGGUGAGGGACGAAAGCUGGGGGCACGAACCGGAUUAGAUACCCGGGUAGUCCCAGCCGUAAACUAUGCUCGCUAGGUGUCAGGGACGGGCGACCGUUUCUGGUGCCGCAGGGAAGCCGUGAAGCGAGCCACCUGGGAAGUACGGUCGCAAGGCUGAAACUUAAAGGAAUUGGCGGGGGAGCACUACAACGGGUGGAGCCUGCGGUUUAAUUGGACUCAACGCCGGAAAACUCACCGGGGGCGACAGCAAUAUGUAG
rnacentral:rRNA from 1 species